rnacentral:rRNA from 1 species
GCAGGGUGAGUCGACCCCUAAGGCGAGGCCGAAAGGCGUAGUCGAUGGGAAACAGGUUAAUAUUCCUGUACUUGGUGUUACUGCGAAGGGGGGACGGAGAAGGCUAUGUUGGCCGGGCGACGGUUGUCCCGGUUUAAGCGUGUAGGCUGGUUUUCCAGGCAAAUCCGGAAAAUCAAGGCUGAGGCGUGAUGACGAGGCACUACGGUGCUGAAGCAACAAAUGCCCUGCUUCCAGGAAAAGCCUCUAAGCAUCAGGUAACAUCAAAUCGUACCCCAAACCGACACAGGUGGUCAGGUAGAGAAUACCAAGGCGCUUGAGAGAACUCGGGUGAAGGAACUAGGCAAAAUGGUGCCGUAACUUCGGGAGAAGGCACGCUGAUAUGUAGGUGAAGUCCCUCGCGGAUGGAGCUGAAAUCAGUCGAAGAUACCAGCUGGCUGCAACUGUUUAUUAAAAACACAGCACUGUGCAAACACGAAAGUGGACGUAUACGGUGUGACGCCUGCCCGGUGCCGGAAGGUUAAUUGAUGGGGUCAGCGCAAGCGAAGCUCUUGAUCGAAGCCCCGGUAAACGGCGGCCGUAACUAUAACGGUCCUAAGGUAGCGAAAUUCCUUGUCGGGUAAGUUCCGACCUGCACGAAUGGCGUAAUGAUGGCCAGGCUGUCUCCACCCGAGACUCAGUGAAAUUGAACUCGCUGUGAAGAUGCAGUGUACCCGCGGCAAGACGGAAAGACCCCGUGAACCUUUACUAUAGCUUGACACUGAACAUUGAGCCUUGAUGUGUAGGAUAGGUGGGAGGCUUUGAAGUGUGGACGCCAGUCUGCAUGGAGCCGGCCUUGAAAUACCACCCUUUAAUGUUUGAUGUUCUAACGUUGACCCGUGAUCCGGGUUGCGGACAGUGUCUGGUGGGUAGUUUGACUGGGGCGGUCUCCUCCUAAAGAGUAACGGAGGAGCACGAAGGUUGGCUAAUCCUGGUCGGACAUCAGGAGGUUAGUGCAAUGGCAUAAGCCAGCUUGACUGCGAGCGUGACGGCGCGAGCAGGUGCGAAAGCAGGUCAUAGUGAUCCGGUGGUUCUGAAUGGAAGGGCCAUCGCUCAACGGAUAAAAGGUACUCCGGGGAUAACAGGCUGAUACCGCCCAAGAGUUCAUAUCGACGGCGGUGUUUGGCACCUCGAUGUCGGCUCAUCACAUCCUGGGGCUGAAGUAGGUCCCAAGGGUAUGGCUGUUCGCCAUUUAAAGUGGUACGCGAGCUGGGUUUAGAACGUCGUGAGACAGUUCGGUCCCUAUCUGCCGUGGGCGCUGGAGAACUGAGGGGGGCUGCUCCUAGUACGAGAGGACCGGAGUGGACGCAUCACUGGUGUUCGGGUUGUCAUGCCAAUGGCACUGCCCGGUAGCUAAAUGCGGAAGAGAUAAGUGCUGAAAGCAUCUAAGCACGAAACUUGCCCCGAGAUGAGUUCUCCCUGACUCCUUGAGAGUCCUGAAGGAACGUUGAAGACGACGACGUUGAUAGGCCGGGUGUGUAAGCGCAGCGAUGCGUUGAGCUAACCGGUACUAAUGAACCGUGAGG